rnacentral:sRNA from 1 species
AGGAGAACAGUGGCGGAGAAGCAAGGCUGAGAAAGGGAAGGCAGAGCGGGAGGAGCCUAGGAGGGAGACCCUGAGAGGAGAAGGGAGGACAUAGAGAGAGCAGGAGACAGGAGGAGGAUGUGAACAAUGGAUGAUUGGGGAUGGGGAGGAUGCAUGAGGGGAGAAGGGAUUGACUCCAAGACCUCUGGGCUCUGGACAUCAUCAGGCAAACCUGGAGCUUGGGAAGAGAGGCAGGAAAGAGAAGGAUCUUGGGCCUAGGCACUGCAGCCCCAUGCCCUCUGUCCCUGCACUGUUGACUCAGCCCCUCCACACUUCCCCUUUCUUUCUACCCUUUUCUGCCCCAAGCACCAGGCCCGUGCAUCUCUUCCCCUCCUCCACCUCUCAGCUGCUGGCGUGGCCUCGUGGCCUUGGCUGAGUCAGUACUGGUCUCCUAGAGUCUGGGCUGAGUGCUUCCCGCUGAGCUAUAAUCCUCUGUCCCCAGCCCAGGUCCUCUGACUUGGGGCUUCUACCCUCAGCCAUCUGGAUCCUGAUUUUUCAUUUCUGAGAGCCUGGGAAACCUUGGAGGGAGUGGUCUUCUCAGCUUCUAGUCCUGCUCCAAGAGCUGAGGGAAAAUCCAGAGAUUGGAGGUCACAUCCUAAGGAAGGUCCUAGAAUAGUGGGAUAUCCCCUUCUUCUCACCUUCUCAGGCUUUUUGGGAAUCACAGGGGCUUGAAGAGGGACAGAUUGGAGGUCAGGGAGAAUGACUUGACUUGCAGAGGCAGGGGCACUGGGGGAAAUGGGAGAUAGCAGAGAUGGAAAACGCGGCUCAGAGGCUCCAAGGAAGGUGUGCGCCAUCUCUGUGGAGAUCAACACUGAAGGAUGGAGGGAUGUCAGAAAGGACUUCCUAGGAUGGGAGAGACCAGUUGGGUGAGGAGCAAUAGAGGAAACUCUCCUAGGUUUUAACUCUGGAGAGUAGUAUGAGAGGGAUAAAAGUUAGACUGCAGGAGAGAUUUUCCGCUGGAAGCAACCGAGAUGGCUGGCUGAGCUUCCUUACUUAAAGAUCCCAGAGUGGAAGAGUGACCCAAAGGCAGCUGCCUUUGCCUCAAGACCCGGGAAAAGGAGAAGAUGAAGGAAGCCAAGGAUGCCCGCUAUACCAAUGGGCACCUCUUCACCACCAUCUCAGUUUCAGGCAUGACCAUGUGCUAUGCCUGUAACAAGAGCAUCACAGCCAAGGAAGCCCUCAUCUGCCCAAGUAAGUUGUUUGGACCCUGAGAGUCACCCAGACUCGGUGCCCACUGACCCUGAUCUUUUCAUCUGUUUUUUCUGCCUGGAUCCAUGAGGGUUGCUCUUCUCUCUGAUCCCCAGCUGAGCCCAAAUGCCAGGGCCAGAUGCUUGAUCCCUUGCUCCCUGUCCUCACUCUGAGGGGUGGUGGCUGUUGGAAUAUGGCAUAAGCUGGACUAUCUGGGAAUGUGGGGGAGGGGAGGCUGUGCUGGCUCCUCUUGCAGCUGUCAUCCACCAGGCACCCCCCUUGCUCCCCGAACAGCUGCUAAGGGUUAGGGGAACUGAUUGGAGAAGGAGCAGGAAUGUUGUAUAUGUGGAGGGGGUGGGGUGGGGGGUGAUAGAGGAACUGGGUGGAAAGCUGCCAGCCUUGCAGCUGGCUCUGCCUAUCUUCCUGGGCAGAGCUGGGCAUUCAGGACUUCACAGUCCCCUUGCCCGUUUCUUUCUAUUGACUAUGGGUGGAGCCUGAAAUCUCUGCUGUUUCAAGCAGAAGAUGUGAUUAGGACCCUUCAUCUCAAAUUUCUAGUGAGAAAGAGGGAAUGUAUCAGGGAAGUGUGUGUUGAGGGGCAGGGGUUAGAAUUCCUGCCCUUCAUCCACAUCUGAGUGUAGCCCUGUCUUUAGGGAGUAUCAUCCAGGAAUUCUUUCCUUCCCCAGUAUACAGAGGGCUCCUGCUGCCCCCUCUCCCUCAAUUCCUCCUGAAGUUAUGGCAGAGAUGCCUCUGAUUAGAGCAGGAUUGGAGGUAUUGUGACCUGCUACUUUAAAUAGUGGACAAAAGCUCUAGCCUGUAAAUCCCUAUGAAACUUGGGGAAGGAACCCCCAGAAAGAACCAGUGAUGGGCAACCCACUUGGGUCCCCUUCUACGCUGUGGGAGCUUUGUCAUUUUGCUCUUCACAAUAAAGCUUGCUACCGCUC